rnacentral:rRNA from 1 species
AUUGAACGCUGGCGGCAUGCCUUACACAUGCAAGUCGAACGGUAACGGGCCUUCGGGUGCCGACGAGUGGCGAACGGGUGAGUAAUACAUCGGAACGUGCCCGACCGUGGGGGAUAACGAGGCGAAAGCUUUGCUAAUACCGCAUACGAUCUACGGAUGAAAGCAGGGGACCGCAAGGCCUUGCGCGGACGGGGCGGCCGAUGGCAGAUUAGGUGGUUGGUGGGAUAAAAGCUUACCAAGCCGACGAUCUGUAGCUGGUCUGAGAGGAUGAGCAGCCACACUGGGACUGAGACACGGCCCAGACUCCUACGGGAGGCAGCGGUGGGGAAUUUUGGACAAUGGGCGCAAGCCUGCUCCAGCCAUGCCGCGUGCAGGAUGAAGGCCUUCGGGUUGUAAACUGCUUUUGUACGGAACGAAAAGCCUUCUUUUAAUACAGGAGGGUCAUGACGGUACCGUAAGAAUAAGCACCGGCUAACUACGUG